rnacentral:ncRNA from 2 species
UAUCGUAUGCGCGCGUUUGGUGCCCGCACAUGCAUUCGCGUGUGCAGUUAAACGGGAAACAGGCAGCGCUCCCGCGCUCAACCUGUGCUGUCCCCGCAACGGUAAGCGACCUGCGGUGCAAUGUUCAUGCUGCACCGCGCAUGCGUUUUCGAUGCCACUGUCCGAUACAUUCGAAUGAAUGCGGGCGGGAAGGCAAAGCGCGUGAGGCCGCCAGCCCGGAUACCGGCCAGAUGCGGAGGCGACCG